GACGAACGCUGGCGGCGUGCCUAAUACAUGCAAGUAGGACGCAGUUGCGAACGGGUGAGUAACGCGUAGGUAACUACCUAUUAGAGGGGGAUAACUAUUGGAAACGAUAGCUAAUACCGCAUACUAGUAGAUGGACCUGCGUUGUAUUAGCUAGUAGGUAGGGUAAUGGCCUACCUAGGCAACGAUACAUAGCCGACCCGGGAGGGUGAUUGGGCCAAAUGGGACUGGGGAACGGGCCCAAAUCCCUCGGGAGGGCGCAAGUGGGAAUCUUCCGGCAUUGGGGGAACCCUGACCGAGCAACGCCGCGUGAGUGAAGAAGGUUUUCGGAUCGUAAAGCUCUGUUGUUAAGGAAGCGGUACUUAACCAGAAAGGGACGGCUAACUACGUGCCAGCCGCCGCGGUAAUUC
rnacentral:rRNA from 1 species